GACGAGCGAGGCGCCGACAGCCGGCGCUGCGAUCGGGGAAAUCGAG
rnacentral:sRNA from 1 species